rnacentral:lncRNA from 1 species
AGCUGUAGACGUAUGGUGGAGGAGGAGACUUGUAUACAACCUUAGGGGAUGGAGAGUAGUACGGUGGUGGUGGGGAACUGUAAACAUAUGGUGGUGGAGGAGACUUGUAGUCUACCUUAGGGGAUGGAGAGUAGUAUGGUGGUGGUGGAGAACUAUAGACAUAUGGAGGAGGAGGAGACUUGUAUACAACCUUAGGGGAUGGAGAAUAGUAUGGUGGUGGUGGAGAGCUGUAAACAUACGGUGGUGGAGGAGACUUGUAGUGAACCUUAGGUGUUGGAGAGUAAUAUGGUGGUGGUGGAGAACUGUAAACAUAUGGUGGUGGAGGAGACUUGUAUACAACCUUAGGAGAUGGAGAGUAAUAUGGUGGUGGUGGAGAGUUAUAGACGUAUGGGGGAGGAGAAGACUUGUAUACGACCUUUGGAGAUGGGGAAUAACAUGGAGG